UUUGGAGUUAAAUGGUCCCACCAGAGGGAGUAAGCCACAUUUGGAAGGGAAUGUGGAGCAGUAACAUCUAUUUUCUUUCUUGUCCCCCGUCCUUUAAGCUCUAAACAUACAUGCACAAACACAAAUGGCCUUUCAUCUCUGCUCCUGAGCUGCUGGAGGCUCGCAGCUUUCUAGGCGGACAUGAAAGCUGUUCUCUCUCCUGGCCUCAAAUGAACAUCGCCUCGGUGGCCCAACCGCGAACAGGCAGCGCUCUGCUGUCUUUUAGGGACCGGCCAGGAGGCUCCAUUUGGGACAGUCAAGACCAAGGGCCCAGGGACACAGGUAAACUGAAGAUGAUUUAUUUACAUAUGUGCAGGUAAGAGAGAUGUCUAUAAUACAUUUAAAUUUUUUUUCCCCAACAUCCUGUUCAAAGUGGACUCUACAGAGGGCAAAGCCAGCCACUAACUGACCAAAGUUAACCAUAGAGGUUUUGGAGGACUGAGGACAGAUAGGAGGCAGGGAGUAAUAAGGCUGGGUGGAUAAAGGAUCUCAGCUUUUUGGAUGGAGGAAGAGAAGAGAUAGGAGGUCACUGGUGGCUUCUUAGCUGCUCCUCUGAUCAUUCAGAUUCUUACUCCGAUAUCUGACUCCCAAUAUUUUUUAUUGAUAAAGAAUAAUUAGAUAAAUGUAUCAGAAGCUCACCACUAUUACGCUAACUGAAAACAAAUAAAGAUAUGGUAUAUGUAUAGAUAUGUGCUUACAUACACACAGAUCUAUACAUUCUAGAUUGUAGGGUAAUACACAGGGAGGCUAAUCCACCAUACGAAAUAGUUUUUAAAAAUGUAUCUUAUUUACUUUGUGUAACACACACACACACACACACACACACACACACACGGGGAAUGAGGAAGACUGCUCACAGAAGCCAGCAUCAGGCUUCAGAUCGCUAUAGCUGGAGUUAGAGUCAUUUUGUGAGUCUCCUUUGGUUGGUCCUGGGAUUCAAACUCAGGCCCUCUCACAGAACAGUAAACAUUUGUUAACUGACGAGCCAUCUCUUCAUCUCAACUUGUCUACAUGUUUUUAAUUUAUACAUUCAGCUAACAAAUUAAGUGAAAUAUGUCCUACAAUGUUCAGCCUUUGACUCUGCUAAGUAUGCCUCCAAAUCAUCAAAAUAAAAAAGCACAUAAGUAUUUAAAAAAAAAAAAGUGGACUCUAGGGCUGGGGAGAUGGUUCAGUGGGUAAGAAUGCUUGCAGUCCAAGUAUGAGGGCCUGAGUCAAAAUUCCCCCCCAAAAGCCAUGUGUAAACUGCACGGCUGUAACCCCAGUGGUGGUGGCGGGGAAGACAAGAGGAUUACUGGGCUCUACCAGCCUAGCUCCAGGUUUAGUGAGGGAUUCUGUCUCCAGGGAACAAGACAGAGAGAGAUUGAUCAGGGUACCUGAUGUCCUCUGGCAUGAUGUCCACACACAUGGACACAAAUGUGCAUGCACAAGUGUGCAUCAGCACAUAUAUGUGCACAUAUACGGCACUCACAUGUUCACAUACACACCUGCUGUGAUGGUUAGUUUUAACUGUCAACUUGGCACAAUCUGGGAUUACCUGGAAAAAGAAUCUCAGUGAGGAACUGUCUAGAUUGAUUGGCCUGUGAACAUCAGUGUGAGGAAUGUUCUUAAUUGGGUUGACUGAGGUGGGUGGCAGUGGCUGCCCCUUCUCAAGACUGAAUGGCAAGGGAGUCAGCUGAGCUGGCAGGCAGGCAGGCAUGCAUUCUCUCUGCUCUUGACCCUGGAUGUGAAUGGCUUCUUCAAGUUCCUGCUGCCUUGACAUCCGCACAAUGAUGGACUGGAACCUUUCAGAAUUUCAUGCUAAAAUACAUUCCUUAGAUUGUUUAUCUCAAGGUAUUUUUCAUAGCUAAGGAAGUAAAACUAACACAUCCAUACCUUCUGUGUACACACACAGAUGGACUCUGAGAUUUUAAUUUAGUAAAAAGCGCAGGUUAAAACUUUACACAACUGCAUCAGAUGUUGAUGAGAAUUUCGAAUUGAUUGGUUACUCACAUCUGGUUUUACCUGUUUGUCCUUGUUCUCCUAGACUGCUCUGUUCUCCCUUCCUUAUUUCUCCCCACAGCAACAGUGCCCUGACUGAAGUCAUUCACUCAUCCUAACCAUUCUGCCGCCAUUUACUUUUCCCCUUGUCCUUCUCACUGCUGAACUCAGCUGCUCCUUCCCUGCCCUGAGCCCUCCCUCACUCCCGCUUACAGUCUGCACAGUUGAGUCUUCAGUUCACACACACACACACACACACACACACACACACACACACACACACACACACACACACAUUCAGUCUUUGGUCAUGUAUUGCCACAUUCCUGCCAGCAUUUGUGUGUCUAGGUCCUUGGUCCUGUUCUCACCCCUGCUGCUUCUCUCUUACUGGUCUCACUUUGUUUUGAUCUCUGGCAUUAGCGGCCCUCCUUCCAACCUGGAGCACUCCAUGUUUUAUUGGCACCUCCCAGCCUUCCCUUUGCUUCCAACAGCCCUCACCAGUGCCUUCCACCCUAUGGAGAUCAAUACAUCAGGGGGGGUGGCGGUAAAGGCAGAGUCAAUGGAUCUGCUGCAGGGUGCUGCUCCAGAGCUGGAUCACAAAUGCUUCUGAUUCUGGGGCUGUUGCUAUGGUGAGUGUGAAACAUCCCUCACAGACUCAUGUGUUGGUUCCUAGCUGGUGGCACUGUUUUGGAAGUUUGUGGAAACUACAGGAGAGGAGGCCUAGCUGGAGGAAGUAGGUAACUUUGGGGGGGGGGGCGGGUAGGGGAAUGUUUAUGCCUGACCCCUUUGUACCUUGUUUCCUGCCUUGAGGAGAGCUCCCUCUGUCUUAUGUCUGUCUGCACCAUGGGGCUCAGAAUCGAAGAGCCAAGCAACCAUGGACUGAACCCUCUGGUACCCCAGAUGGAGGGAAAGUGAAGAAAUCAAGUAAUACCCUAAAAAGAUGGCAUUGAAAGCCACCUGCACACCUCAGUGGCAGGCACAGAAGACCACAGAUCACACGGUUCACUCCAGCAUUACCCCCUUCCUAUGGCUGGAAACAGGAUCUCCUUAGGAGAGGACACGGGAGCGCUCCGGCAUUCUCCACCAGGUCAUGAGCAUCUGUCCUUUGCGGUGACACACAGCUUCUGACUGUAACCCAAGAGCUCUUCUUGGCACACCUGGCCUUUCUCUCAGGUGUCUGAGAUGAAACCCAUGAAUAUUGAGCAGUCUCACUUUGCCUGACUGAAAAAUUAAUUCUGUCAAUUUUAACUGACAGCUCAUUUUAAAUUUAAAAUGAGGAGAUGAAUGGAUAGCCCCUGUUUCAUCAAAAAGGAGGUAGAGAGGCAUCAAAAUAGCUAACAAAGCCUGGAGAGAUCGAUGGCUCCUCCAGAAAGGGGCUUGCUGCACCUCCAUGAGGACCUGGGGUCCAUUUCCAGUACCCACUAAACAGCUGGGCACAGAGGUGCACGUGUGUAAUACCAGCACUUAGUGAGUGGAGACGAGGGGAUUCCUGGAGCUCACUGGCUGAUUAGCCAAGCCCAACUAGUGGUCCCAGUGAAUAAGCCUGUCUUGAAUAAUAAGAUGGGCAGUGACCAGGAAUAACACUUGAGGUUGUCUUCAGGUUUUCACAUGCAUGAGUAUGUAUCAGUGACCACUACAGACAAGCACAGACCAUCAGUGAUCACCAGACCAGCACAGACCAUCAGUGAUCACUACAGACCAGCAAAGACCAUCAGUGAUUCACCACAGACCAGCACAGACCAUCAGUGAUCACCACAGACCAGUACAGACCAUCAAUGAUCACCACAGACCAGCACAGACCUUUAGUGAUUCACUACAGACCAGCACAGACCAUCAGUGAUCACCACAGACCAUCAGUGAGCUUCUCAGGAUGUUUACAAAAACAACACCAAGCAUAAACAGAUGGCAUAAAAUGGAGAAAGUGAGCUGCACAUUAGCAACCAUGAUCUACCACUCUCUACUGCUGACUAUAAAUGGGAUCUGACAGCUGCUUCAGGCACCUACUGCCUUGAUUUCUCUGCCAUGACGGAUUGUACCUUGGACCGUGACAUAAAAUAAGCCUUUUCUCCUUAAAGUCGCUUUUGUCAGAUUAUUUUAACACAGCAACAGGAAAUAAAACUAAGAGUCAACACAGAAAAGUAUAUAAAGCGUGUACCAAAGCACAUAAAACAUAGUACAAGAUUUAUCAAUUAUAUACUUCACUUCGAUGUUAUAGUAAGAUAAUAGUAUCAUCAUUCAUUAUCAUGAAGUGAAUGCUCAGAUAAAGACCACCAACAUAAAUAAAUGGAGUACCACUGUGCCCCUAUGCGUCCCUUCUAACAAAAGUGCCUUCUAGAACAGUUUGGCCUAUUAUUGAAAUUUAUACAAAUGAAGCUGUACAGUGGUUCCAAUCUCACAUGUCUUUGUUCUGUGGCUUCAGAACAUCUCUUGAAUGAGCACCCACCAUGAAUGCAUUCAUCCUGCAACAAGCAUGACCAGCCGAGGACUGCCAAGUACAUUUUCAAUAUGCACUCGGCUACACAUGUGCAUGAGAUACUUGUGGGUGCACACCUGAAAACGGAGAUGCUGGUCAGUGAGGUCUGCACAUCUUCAGUGUAACUACAUGUAAGCCACUUUUCAGACCGGUUACCCUGAUUUACAAAACCCAUAUUCCUCCAUCCGGAAGCCAGAAGCUCUGCGAACCUGCCAAUUCACAGAAUGUGCUCAAGUCUGAUAUUCUACUUUCUGUCAGCUCAAUUCAUGAUGUAAUCUCAUUUGAUCCUAAUUUGCAUUUUUCCUAAUUGAUAACGAUGCUGUUUUUAAUUUUAUGCUUCUCCACUGCUAUUUAAAUACCUCGGUGAUAUUCCUUUGCUGCAAUCUGUGUUUCUAAAAAAAAAAAAAAAAUCUAUUUUAUAUAUUUUAAAUAUUCUGGAUAUAAAUCCAUUAUCAGAUAUAAUCUCAUUAAAGAAAAUUGGCAUUUUCUUUACAAUGGUUUGGUUUGGUUAAUUUUUAUUUAUAUUUAAUUUAUGUGUAGGAACGGUAGCUUUCAUGUCUGUAUGUAUACCUGGUAUCUGCUUGGUGUCUUCAGAGGCCAGAAGAAGGUGUAGAUCUCUGCAACUAGAGUUACAGGUGGUUGGAAGCCAUCAUGAAGUACUGGGAACUGAACCUGGGUCCUCUGUAAGAGCAGCAGGGACUUUUAACUGCAGAGUCCUCUCUCCAGCCCUACAAUGCUUUGCCAUA